rnacentral:rRNA from 1 species
UACGUAGGGUGCAAGCGUUGUCCGGAAUUAUUGGGCGUAAAGAGCUCGUAGGCGGUCUGUCGCGUCUGCUGUGAAAACUCAGGGCUUAACCCUGAGCUUGCAGUGGGUACGGGCAGACUAGAGUGCGGUAGGGGAGACUGGAAUUCCUGGUGUAGCGGUGAAAUGCGCAGAUAUCAGGAGGAACACCGGUGGCGAAGGCGGCGAGCUGGCCUGUACCUGACGCUGAGGCGCGACAGCGUGGGGAGCAAACAGG